rnacentral:lncRNA from 1 species
GAUUUUCCAUCUUCUUCCUUCCUCUUCUUCUCUUCUUCCUCUUUCUCUUUCUUCUUUUCCUCUUUUCCUCUUUUUCUCCUCUUCCCUUUCUUUCUUUUCUUUCCUUUCUUUUCUUCUUUCUGAUAUAUCUUCUUUUCUUCUUCUCUUUUCCACCACACAUACUACAUAUAUAAUAUAUAUAAUAUAUAAUAUUAAGUAAUAACAAAAUAUCCCAAUUGAUAUUUCAUCCUCCAACACCAAUUAUUAAUGUUACAAAAAAUAUCCUCUCU